rnacentral:misc_RNA from 1 species
CAAUGAGUGUUUUAUGGCACUCUUUAAAAAUCCAUAUCCACCUUGUGUGCAAUGUUUGUUGGGAGAGAGGCAACUCUUUCCCUUCACAAAUAUCAACCUAUAUCUUUAACAACGUGCUUCGGCGCUGCGGCGCCGCCUUUAUGCCUGUAGCUAUGUGUCUGAAUGAAAGCAAAGAUUA